UUUGAUCCCAAUGGGAUGAUCUGAUCUUGCAUUGAGUUGUGGUGGUGUUAGGUACACAAGGAGUGUGAUACAUGUAACUCGCCAACAGCAAAGAAUGUAGAGACAAAGGUCUUAUGCCAUUGCAUAUCAUCACUAGGACAUGUUAGUCCAUAAUCUACAGGAAGUGUAGUGUGAUUGAUUAUGCAAUGAGAGAUGGCCAUUGCAUAAUACCAUUGGACAUAUCCAGUCCAAAGACUACAGGAAGUGUAGCAUGGGUCAUUAUCCAAUGAGAAGUGUGUCUUGUGAGUCUCUCUAUGGUGAUUCAAACACCCUAGUUCCUGGUUAAGGAAGAGAGUAAACUCACAAGAAGAAAGCUAUCAUGAAAGACUGAUAGUUAUAAGACCAUGAGGAUGCAUAUGAUCAUCACAAGCUUAGCUCCUUAUAGUCUAAGCUUGAGGGGGAGUCUUAAUGCAUAUGAUCCAUGGUCAGUAACAAGUCAUUGCAAAGGCUUCUACAACGGAUCAUCAGCAGGAGUUAUUCUAGGUAGUCUAAGGGUGAAGGUGAACUGAUCAAAGCGGCUUUUAUGGUGAAGUGAUUGAUGAGAAGCUGAUGAAUCCAUUCUGCCUUUCCAAGAAGUUGAUGAUGCCAUGGAGAUGGUGCAAUGGCCGAGUGGGAACUCACCAAAACAAAAGGGAAGUGUCCUAAGCUCAAUUCAAUUCAAUACAUUCAUCAUUUCAAAUCAAAGUCUAGAAAUGAUACUUAAAAUGUUUGAAUGGAUUGUGUGAUGUUCCUUGAUAAGUACUGAUCCACCUUUGGGAUAAUGUAUCAGGUACCAUUGCUUGAGCCUCACUAAAGAUGUUCCUGGUCAGUUCCUAGCUUCUCUAAGAUGGCUGAGAAGUCUGUUGAGAGGGGGAGAUCCAAACCAGUUCUAUGAAGAGGGCAAGCCGUGUGUGAAGUGUUGAUCAGCCUCACUGGUGUUUUGAAGAUGAUCUGGUCGUGUCCUAGCUUCUCUAAGAUGGCUGUGAAGUCAGUUGAGAGGGGGAGACUUCAAACCGGUUCCAUGAAGAGGUGAAGCUGAGUUGUUAAGUGCGCAAAGUCUUGAUGAGUUGCUGCACCAGUUAAGCCACGAUCCAGAGUUCUUUGUGUCCAACUACAUUGGUUCUAAGACACAAAGGCUCAAUGACCAAUCCCUAGGCCUUGAGGAACCUACUCUUUUUCCCUUACAAAGUUUUGUCCCAAAGGGUUUUCCUUGUAAGGUUUUUAAUGAGGGGAUUCUUCAAGGUUCCAAGCUUGACUUAGGAUCUCCUAAGAGUCAAGCUUGAGGGGGAGUGUUAACUUGAAGAAUAGAAAUGGAGUGAAAGGAGAAGUAUGGAGUAGUUUGGGUCUAGUGCAAAGAGAGGGCAAGUCUUAUAAAGAUUGUAUGUCAAGCUUCAGGAGGGUUUUAAGAAGUCAAGAAGUGAUCUUAUGGCUGUGGAAGAUUGGGUUUAAGUCCAGGAGGGACUUAGACACCAUUUGGAGAAUAUUUGGUUGAGACAGUAACUCUAAAGUUACCACAGUAACUUUGGAGAGUUACCACAGUAAGAGAACACAAAACUCUUAAGAGAAGAAGACAAAACUCUUAAGAGAAGAAGACAAAGGAGAGGCUGGCUUACCAAUCUCUUAGACACAUAAACACUCUUUAGUCUCUCUUCUUCUCAAAUCGCUCCCAAGCUCUCUCUCUUUACCCAUUUGGGCUUCACACACACAUACAACCUGAGUAAUCCUAAAAUCUCAUAUAUUUUAGUUGGGAUUCAAUAGGUUGUUGGAACAAAAUGUGUGUGUAGCAAUAAUUGACCUAUAGAAAGUGACCGUGAGUGAAUAUACAUUUUUUGCCAACAGAUGUUGCCAUGUUGGACAAGAAACCCGGGAUGAUAAUGGAUUUGGGGUGGAUAACUAGUCCUAAAAUGGAU
rnacentral:lncRNA from 1 species